CAUCUUAACACCGUUGACUCUAUUCCUUGAAGACACUACUGGGAGUGAACUGAAGGAAGACAUACCGAAGGAAACUGUAUGAUUCAGAAGACACGAUAUACUAGAUAAACUUAUCGAGAUUUAGAUAAACGGCAUGCUUGAAGCUAUAGAGUCAAUUCUUAUAGGUAACAGUCUGGAAGGUGCUAUUUAAAUUCGACUAAUGCGGGGGAAAGAAAAGAAAAGAAAAAACAUGGGCGCUAUUUAAUUUUACAUGCCAUGCUAAAUAAAAUAAAUAUACAAAGGAUGUA